rnacentral:rRNA from 1 species
CCUACGGGUGGCAGCAGUGAGGAAUAUUGGUCAAUGGCCGUAAGGCUGAACCAGCCAAGUCGCGUGAAGGAAGAAGGACCUAUGGUUUGUAAACUUCUUUUAUAGGGGAAUAAAGGUCUCCACGUGUGGAUUUUUGCAUGUACCCUAUGAAUAAGCAUCGGCUAACUCCGUUCCAUCAGCCGCGGUAAUACGGAGGAUGCGAGCGUUAUCCGGAUUUAUUGGGUUUAAAGGGUGCGUAGGUUGUUAUAUAAGUCAGCGGUGAAAGUUUGUGGCUCAACCCUAGAAUUGCCGUUGAUACUGGGUGACUUGAGUGUGGUAGAGGUAGGCGGAAUGCGUGGUGUAGCGGUGAAAUGCAUAGAUAUCACGCAGAAUUCCGAUUGCGAAGGCAGCUUACUAAGCCAUAACUGACGCUGAUGCACGAAAGCGUGGGGAUCAAACAGGAUUAGAUACCCCUGUAGUC